rnacentral:rRNA from 1 species
AUUGAACGCUGGCGGCAGGCCUAACACAUGCAAGUCGAGCGGAUGAAGGGAGCUUGCUCCUGGAUUCAGCGGCGGACGGGUGAGUAAUGCCUAGGAAUCUGCCUGGUAGUGGGGGAUAACGUCCGGAAACGGGCGCUAAUACCGCAUACGUCCUGAGGGAGAAAGUGGGGGAUCUUCGGACCUCACGCUAUCAGAUGAGCCUAGGUCGGAUUAGCUAGUUGGUGGGGUAAAGGCCUACCAAGGCGACGAUCCGUAACUGGUCUGAGAGGAUGAUCAGUCACACUGGAACUGAGACACGGUCCAGACUCCUACGGGAGGAAGCAGUGGGGAAUAUUGGACAAUGGGCGAAAGCAUGAUCCAGCCAUGCCGCGUGUGUGAAGAAGGUCUUCGGAUUGGAAAGCACUUUAAGUUGGGAGGAAGGGAAGUAAGUUAAUACCUUGCUGUUUUGACGUUACCAACAGAAUAAGCACCGGCUAACUUCGUG